AGAAACAAUGGCAGGCAGAAACCAAGUUGAAAAAAAUCAAACCAAGGACCUUAAGUGUGCAACACAUUUGUUAAGUGAGAAAUUCAGAAACAUGAGUGAGGAGAAGAAAACAAUAGUUAGGGAUUUGGGAUUUGGCAGCCUGAUGCACAUCCCGCCGCUGAUGAUGCAUCACCAAAUAUUAAGGGAGUUGGCUAACUUCUUCAAACUAGGGAAAAACAGACUGGAAACUGGCUACGGUUCAUUUAAAAUAAGACCAAAAACAAUAGGGGCUGCACUUGGCAUCAAUGCAUCAGGUAACUCGCUACAAACAUAAGUGUAUAUGAGCCAUAUUCAGGUGUGUUUCAAUUGAUUUUGGGUGUAUUUGAACUGAUUUUCAUACCAUGUUGUUUUCCUUUUUGUAGGAGAUCUAUUUUCUCAGAAAGUCAAUUAUAAGGAUCUUUCUGAAGAUGACAAACAAAUUUUUAGAAGAUUCCAGGGUAACGCUCAAAAAUCUUACAGAUGAGAUGAUGGCUAUUGCCGUUGAUAAUGAACAGGGGCGCCUCAUGUUUAAGAGGAUUUUCAUCCUCUAUAUACAGAUGACAUUCCUGUUACCAACAACAAUAAACAAAAUCUCACAUGUGCACCUGGCCCUAAUUUUCAAGAUGGACACAAUAACAGAGUGAAACUGGGGAGGACAUGUUUUGAAUUUUAUCAUCAAGGGCAUAACAAAUUAGAAGGUGAAAAAGAAAAAGGCAAUUGAUGACUGCCUCUUUGCCCUGAUGAUAAUUUACUUUCAUUUAUCAAAAAAUAAAGACAAGAAUAGGGCAGAAAGACCUCAAGAACCCUGGAUUGCCAACUGGAGUAAGGAGCAGUUGGUUGAAAGAAUGAGGGCAGAAAUGGAGGAUCAUAUGGGGAUUGUAAAGAUGGCCGACCCAAAGGAAAAAAUGAAAGAAAUAAAGAAAAAAGAAAAAAAAAAGAAACCAAAAAAAGGAAGGCAAGUUCAACAUCAUCAUCUGAGACUGAAACAACUGAAAGUGACCAUUCUACCUCUGAGUCUGAGACUAAGGAAGACUCAGAGGAUUCAACAAGAAAACAACCAAAACAGAAAGCCAAAAAAAUGGAGUCAAAAAAAGAAAGAAGAUUCAGGAGGAUUCUAAUUCAGAAUCUGAAUCAACUGAUGAGUGAUAUUUUGAAAUUAUUACUCCUUUCCUUUAGGUUUAUUAUCAAGAUUUCAUGUAUUAACAGAGUGUCUCUGAUUAACUUAUAGAAGUGAAGAAUCAUCACAAGUGGAGAAGCAAAAAACAAAAAAAGACUCAGAGAAUACCAAAAAAGACACAAUCCAAAAAGGAAAAGACCAUUGUGCAGGAUUCAUCUCCUGAGCAAGCUCAAUCCUAUCAUGGAUCUGAAAUUGGAACUCAAGAAUUAGAUGCAUUCUUAAGGGAAAACAAUGAAAAAUCUGCUGCAUAGGGGUUUCUUGUUUCGCAGGAAGAAACAAGCUGACCUGCGAUCGACCGAAGGUCAUUAUGUCUCAUCUGAAACAAUAUCGGACGUAAACUUGGGAAGUGAUGAUCCUUCCUCUCAACGACACACAGAACAAAGUAGUGUAAACAAACCGGCAGAGAGCAUGUUGAGUCUGUUUGAAGAGAAUAUGAUGGUUGUGAGGGAAGAGACACAAUCUGAAUGGCUUGCAAUUUCCGAUUCAAGUUUGUCUACCACUGUCCCAAACAACAUCUAUACUGAAAAAUGAAAAAACACCCGAAAUAGAAAAUGAACCAACCCCUCUACUACAAAUUGAAGGAACUAAAAAAAGCACUCCUGAACUCCCCCAACAACUUGAAGAAAGCACACACACGCUUCCCCCAACUCUAUCUAAAAUUCCCAGAAGAUGCUGCUGCACUGAUGAUGAUGGCACGGACAGCAUCGUAUGUUCCUAAAGCAGAUCCGUUGCCAUCAUUCAGCCUUGGCUUGACUGAUUCAAGCCAAGAAAAAGCAGCAACGCAUGAGGGGGCAUCAACGCAAGAAGGAGGGAUGGAAAAAACUCCAGAAACCCCAAAGCUGCUAGAACAAUUAGGGAAUUUGGUGGAAAAAAUAGCAAACAGUGGGUGAAAGCAGAAAGUAAAAGUCUACAAAUUCAAAAGGAGAGUGGCGGAGAAAGUUAUGGAAAGUUUGAAACUCCUGCGAGAAUAAAUCAAAAUACGGCUGAGAUGAAAGAGAAGUGCUACAUCUGGGGGACGCGAUUGAAGAAAUACGCAGAUGGCAGAACUAAUGAGUUUGACAACGUGUGCACUCUGAUUGUCCAAGAUAAAUACAUUUUGACAAGAAUGCACCUUGCAUCACUCAAAUCAGAAAGUUAUAUAGAACCUGAGAUUGUAACUGCCAUGUGCCUCAUCCUCAACCAGAAAAAUGAUAAAAGGUUUCAAGAAGAGGUAUACUGUCUCCCCCCUGAUAUUGUGAACAUGGUCAUUGCGAAGCAUCCAAAGGGGGAAUUCAUAUCACCUAAAACCAAUAAAUAAUUUAGGGUGGAAGAAUACCCAAUGUUUAUUCCCUUCAUAAAUGCAAAAAAAUUAACAUCACAUCGAUAUAUUUUUGCAUCUAUUUGCCACUCAAACCAUUGGUGGUUAUGGCUGAUUGACACAAGAAAGUGGAGAUUUUAUAUACUUGACCCGGUACACACGAAAUGUCCAGCCGAUGACAGAAAGGAACUUAAUAAAUUCAUUGGAUAUGUAAUUUCAAGAAUGAGAGUAUAUGCUGGCGGGGCACCUCUGAAGAGAAAGGAGAAUGAGAAGAAAAUUAGAGCACCAUACGUUAACAUCUCAGGCCAAAAGGCAAGUUAUAACUGUGCUAUUUACAUUAUGAAGUGGCUUGAGUUAAUUGAGCCCGAAAACAUUAAAAGGGCAAAGUAUGAGUGGGAUAAUUGGACACAGGACGAGGUGGACCACUAUAGAGUAGAAUAUGCUUCCCGGGUACUAUUCAGUGAAAUGAAUAAAGACAGAGCUGAAGCAAUUAGAGGGAGUAAUGCAAUAAGACUGUCCAAGCCAUCCUCAGUAUUAUUGAGUCCAUUUUGUCACAUAGACUCUAAUGAUAUAGAAACUGAGUAAUGUAACUGCUAGUUAGUUUGUAAAUUGAACACAUGGUGUAAAA